GAUGAACGCUGGCGGCGUGCCUAAUACAUGCAAGUCGAGCGAACGGACGAGAAGCUUGCUUCUCUGAUGUUAGCGGCGGACGGGUGAGUAACACGUGGAUAACCUACCUAUAAGACUGGGAUAACUUCGGGAAACCGGAGCUAAUACCGGAUAAUAUUUUGAACCGCAUGGUUCAAAAGUGAAAGACGGUCUUGCUGUCACUUAUAGAUGGAUCCGCGCUGCAUUAGCUAGUUGGUAAGGUAACGGCUUACCAAGGCAACGAUGCAUAGCCGACCUGAGAGGGUGAUCGGCCACACUGGAACUGGGACACGGUCCAGACUCCUACGGGAGGCAGCAGUAGGGAAUCUUCCGCAAUGGGCGAAAGCCUGACGGAGCAACGCCGCGUGAGUGAUGAAGGUCUUCGGAUCGUAAAACUCUGUUAUUAGGGAAGAACAUAUGUGUAAGUAACUGUGCACAUCGUGACGGUACCUAAUCAGAAAGCCCCGGCUAACUACGUG
rnacentral:rRNA from 1 species